GGGACAUGCAUUGCUUAAUGCAUAUGUUUUUUGAUAAGUUCCACAACGAGAAAUGCGGUGUGCACUAUUUUUCAUGUCAUCUCAAGCGAAAAAUAACAUUGGAAGAUGUUGCAAAGCUCUUCGGCCCUCAAAAAGUUCGAUCUGCAAAGGUUAGAUUUUGUCAUCCAGUUUCAAAUAUGUACUUUGAAUAGGCCGAGUUCAUGGUUUAUUUGGCCUGCUAAUUGUUCCACUGUGAUAUGUAAAGCAAUACUUGUUGAUAUGAUGGGUUAACAUAUCUGAAAUGCUAGAUUUGAUGCAUUAACUGGUACAGGGGAGGAUGGUAUACAUAUUGUUUGUUUUUUCCCGCUGGUUUCUCCACUGUGGUAUAAACAAUACUUAUUGAUAUGCUAAGCAAUCUUUGUUGAUAUGCUGGAUCAGUAUCUCCGAACUGUUGGAUUUUGCCCUUAACCUACCUUUGUAUUGGUUUAUACGGAUCUGCCACUUGAAAAGUCUAUCAUGUCCCUCAUUUCAAAAAUGACAAUUUUGCCCUUAACCUACCUUUGUAUUACGUGGCUGACUUAUUCAAGUCGUGAUCUGACUGUCCGACCUCCAUCUCAACCGACCUUCUCCACCGACCUCGGUCCCGACUGCAUUACAACGACCCUAAACCCUAACCCCGACCUUCAUCUUGACAUCCCUCCGUGUCUGUCCGACUUCCUGUUUCCCCCGAUGUAACGUUGACCCGACUUUGGUACACAUUAUGUCAUAGUCCACCCGACCUGAGUAUAGCCCGAACUGCUAAUGACGGGUUCGAAAAAGAUUGUACGGAUCUGCCACUUGAAAAGUCUAUCAUGUCCCUCAUUUCGAAAAUGACAAUUUUGUCCUUAACCUACCUUUGUAUUACGUGGCUGACUUAUUCAAGUCGUGAUCUGACUGUCCGACCUCAAUCUCAACCGACCUUCUCCACCGACCUCGGUCCUGACUGCAUUACAACGACCCUAAACCCUAACCCUGACCUUCAUCUUGACAUUCCCAAUGCACAUGCUGAUUUUCUAAAGCUUAAAACUUCGUAUGAAGUUCUCAAAGAUGAAAAGGCUAGGAAGCUAUUUGAUGAUCUACUCAGAGUGAAACAUGAUACAUACUACGAACAUAUAAAAUGAUGCUAACAAAGUGUAACGAAAUUUGAAACAGAAAUUGCCAAUUUGGCCGAGUUAUAGGAUCACACAACAAAAGCAUUCUCUCAUAUAUAGCCAUCGCAUCAUUCAGUUUUAAGGAGAAUAGAGGCUUGGUAUCUCUAGUCAAACAAUGAAAUCUAAAGUAAUAAAACAAGCAAGAUUCCAGUACAUUCCAAGACAAGCUGGCACCAAAGUAUUAAACAGAAUUAGAAACAAGAAACAAAGAGAAUAUAUAAACUGAAACCAAAAAGGGUUUAGGUAAACUAUAUGGAGCCCUAGAACAGUUAAUACAAUUAUAAAAACACCAUUGUUGAACUCAGUAGAGAGAUCAGGGAAGAUAUAUAAAUAUAUAUAUAUAUGUGUGUAUAUAAGUGAGACCUGGUGACUGCUGGGGUUUUGCAAUUUGCAGGAUGCACUAAGAAUAAGAAUAUGAGAUAAUUCUAUCAAGUAUCAGAUCUACUAGUUAGUUUUUUAAUGUGUUUGUGAAAAAUGUUCGACCACUAGUCAGAAAUUCAAAGCGUUAAACCAAAAUUGAGAUCUAGACUAUGGCGGAAAUUGAGUAAAUAGAAAACAAUGAAUUGUAUGCAAUUGAUAUGAUUUGAAUACAAGAACUCAGAUUCCCAGUCUACAGAAUCAAAGUAAUGCAUCCUAUAUUACUGCAACACAUAUUGAUCAUCUCCUUCGAUCCACAUGCACAAAUAUUCGCUUUUCAAUUAAUGAAGCAACACAAUAAAAAUCCCUUUUCUUUCUUUUCAAACAAAUAUUCAGAUACAUUUUGGGCGUGAUGUCGGGUGAUGAAUUAACAGUUAUCGAGAAUGAUGAAGAAAUACAAGUAUGAACUACAAUCUCUUCCAAACAUGAUGUUGAUUCUUACAAAAACAAACCAAGUAAUACCAUAGAAGCAUGUUUUCUCCAACAACUUCGUAUUCCUCACACAUACAAAAAAAAAAUUAAAAAAAAAAAGACAACGAGGAACAUCGUCAAAACCUAAGUCCCAACCAGUUCAAAAUCCAUAUCUACUGCGCCAUAAUCCUCCAACAAUCCAUAAAACCCAAAAGAGACAACUACAAAUCAUUUUCGUUACAAAUUCUCGACAAUCAAGUUUUCUCCAAGUAAAAUGGAAAACCUUGCCCAAUUAUAAAUAAGGGUUUCCUUCGAUCCAAUUAACAUCAUUUUUACGACCUCAGCGGUGUUAAUAAAACCCUCUACCUUUCAUGGCAUACAAACUUCGCUCCCCAGUCAAGUUAAAUUUCAAAUCUCUUUCAAAUUGAGAACAAUUCGAUUAUUAAUUACCUUGGAGAUGCUCUUGCCGAAGUGCAGGUGGAGGAACGCCGGUAUCGCUUAGACCAACAGCUCACCGGAAUCGCACCGACUUUGUGACGGAGUGGUACGGGCUAUGGCCGGAGGGAGUGUUGAGGGAAGAAGAGUUGGGGAAGAAAAAAAGGAAUUCGAGGGACAAACGAAGGAAAAAGGCACAAUUCCGACUGUUUAAUUUAGGGUACGGAUCCGGUAAACACAAUUAUGAUGCAAAUGCACCCUCAGGACAAUUCUUCUAUUGGCUCAUAUCCCAGCUUCCCUGUGAAACAGAUGUAGAUGCGUUCAAAUAAUGCCAUCACUCACGAGUAAGAAACUGCUACAAUGAACGGUUAAUUCUGUUUUUAUCGUUAUAGUUUCCUAACGAGAUUCUUACCAUUUGGCGAGACAUGUACUAGCGAUAUUUCUUUCAUCAUUAAAUGCAACCCAACAUUAUCUUUUAAGUCUUAUCAAAGUCAAAAGCAACCGGUAAUUCCCUAAAAAGUAAAGAUUACCGACCAGCCUACCUAUCCACGUGCGGCGUAAUUAUGAUACAUUAUUGAUUUUAGUGCAAUGAAUGUACUAUAAG